UUUACUUUAUGAAAUCGAGUUCCCGCUGAUGGAAUGGGGCAAUGGGUAGCGUCGUUCCUUUCCUCUGAAUCCGAAGCAAACGUCGGACACGGAAUGGAUAGAACUGAUGGGAUGCAGGGACAGCAGGUGUAAAAGGCGGGAGAGCAUUCCUUCCUCCCCGUUCUGCGGUAAACCAGGAACAGCUCUUGGGUAGAGACACCUUUAAACAUGGCUUCUCUCUUGCCCUCUUCCUCUGCUUGAUCGUCGUCCCCUUCUGACCAUCCUCGAAGGGUUGGCAGAAAGGCCGGAGCGAGGGCUGGUAGACUGUCAAUUCUUGUUUCGAACUCUCAGUGUAUCAAUUCUUUACAUGCAAGUUAAAUCUCAAAAGCAUCAGAGGCACCCGGGGCUUCGCUUCGGCCUUCACUCGGCAGUCAGUCGUUUGAAGCAAAACCAGGGUUCCAACGAGAACUUUGUGGCGACCGAAGCGUUUUGGAUUUGAGGGGAUUUCUUUACAGUGGAUAGUGGACCUCUCCCUCUCCGGCGAAUGAAAUUUGGGCUUUCUGCACCUUCACCUGAAGCGUUUUAGACUUGGGGUUUUCAGUAAGAACAACCGAUGGUUCGGCAACUGAACGACUGCUUUCUGAUUGGGGAGCUACUUGGAAUGUGCAAUUCAGGAUUUGGGGACUGCCUUAUAAAACCGGAGCUCCUUCGAUCAAUUCUUGACUGCGGGUUUGAGCAUCCUUUGUAGGAAGGUUUUACAUUCGAUCUCUUGAUUUCUUGAAGCAUUAAGAGGCUGCAAUGCUUAGAUUUUAGCUUCCCAUAAGAUGAUGUACGAUUAUCCGUAUUGCAUUGGUUCUCUUUUGUAACGCUCGUUUGGGAAUCGCACAUUACAUCCUUUCUUGGGUUUCAAAGAGCUACAGGUGACUCUCUCUCUCUGUCUGGGUUUUGUCUUUAUGUUUUUCUAGCUUUGGUUUUAGAUAGUUAAAUUCAAUUGAACUACAUAAAGUCAAGCUUGAGCCAAGCUCAAGCCAUGUUGUAACUCUAGUUCAAACGUUAGUGCUCAAAACUCUCUCUUAACAAAAUAUGCUUUUGUCCUAUCAUUUGAUUCUUGUGCUAUUCCUAAACUCGAUUCUAAGUAGCAUAUGUACAAGGAACUAAGUUGUUAUAUAUCAUAGUUCAUAGUCAUAUAUUUUACUGACUUAUGAUAGGCUUUGCUUUUCUUUAAAUGCACAUUUCAGUUUGCUUAUGCAUUAGCAGUUUAAAAUAGGUUUCUUAUCUAUUUUAUUCAACAGUUUAAAAUAGUGCACGAAAUAAUCAUAUUCCAUUUGUUUUUGUUAAAAUUAAAUAUCUACCCAACAUAACAAACUACAAACAAUGGGAUGACGACCAAGUCAAGUAUUUUGUUUGAUGUGAUGUUAGAAUAGGUCUGAUUCCUUGGGAUAAGGACAGGGUUAGGUUGAAAAACAAAACGACUAUAAGGGCCCGUUUGAUGGGCGGGUAAAAGUUGGUGGGGGUAAAAGUUGGUGGGGAAGGGAGAAUUUGUACGGGCGGGUGAAAUUUCACCCGCCCGAUUAAAACCCAUCAAACAGGGUGGAAUUCCACCCGUUUAACCCAAAAGGGAGCAGGUGGAAUUUCACCCGCUCGAAAGUCUGAGCUCGGAGCUCGGACUUUCGAGCGGGUGAAAUUCCACCCUCUCGAAAUAGUUGUUUCGGGUUAGGCACUCCGCUCAACCUCCCUCCGCAGCUCCUCUUCCCUCGUGCCUUCUCACGUCGCACCAGAGUAUAACCAGGUCGCACUGUCGCCGCUGCGCCGUCGCGUCUCCGCUCCACCGCCGAGACUGUCUGCCACAGUUGCCGUCGCCGCUGUACCGUCGCCUCUCCGCUCCACCGCCGAUACGCUUUCUCCCUUUCUCUCUCUGAUGCCUUCCCUUUCCCCCUUUCUCUGAUGCCCUAAGUUGUCGCUCCUUCCCCUCUGCCACAGAGACCGUCUGCCACAGUUGCCUCUCUGCGCUGUCGCCUCUCUGCCACAGUUGCUGCUCCUUCCCUCUGUUACUGCCCGGUUCAACAAUUAAUCCAGAUUAUCAGAUGUGCAUAUAUAUUUAGAAGCAAAGGGAGAAGGAAUGGUCUGCCGGAGCUUUUGGCAUUAUUAAUCGGUCAUGGUUCCCCGGUAGCAGUUUAACCUGUUCAGUUGGUGCUCCUAUUUGCAUCUAAGCAACUUCUUCCUUUGGUGGACAGAGGUUUAGCAUGGAGAGAUUAAUCAGCAUGAUUCUCUUAUAUCUUGUUCUUAACAUGAUUCUCUUAUAUCAUGUUCUUACAUUUUUGACAAUGGCUGCAUUCAAAUCAUUCUUUAUUGUUUUCAAUCACAGUAGCAAAUGCCAAUUUCUUCAGUU